CAAAAAUGUAGACGAGCUUUUUAAAGC
rnacentral:piRNA from 1 species